UAUAUAUAUACACACACACACACAUAUAUAUAUAGUGUAAUAUAAUAUAUAUAUCAGUUGUCCUAUAAGCAAACACAGUAGUACUUAUACAUGAUUAAAUUAAAUACUAUUUAAUUGCAGGACUUACACUAUUCAUAAAUAUGUGGGAAACAAUUAGAAUGGAUUAUUAAAAAUUUAUGAAUUACUGUCUCCUGGUGUAAUUAAUGAAAUUAAAUCUGGCUGGCUUUUUGACCUGAAAUAGUCAAUUAAAUCUUAGUUUGUCAAUUUAGUGUCUCUAAUGAUGUUGAUGAUUUAUCUGUCAACAACCAAGAGAAGCUUUUAAAUUUACAAUAACAAAAGUAAAAAUAAAGCCAUGGCAUGGUUGGAACUGUAGACUACCGAAUUAAAUGGCUGUCAGUGUUUAGUUCCAUUCUCUUCUGUUCUCAGUUCAAGUCACAAGAAUGCUGAUUUACUUUCAAUGUCUGUUGGUUUGAUAAAAUAAAUACCAAGCAUAUUACUGGACUUCACUAUUGACCUCCACCACUUUCUCUACUGCCUUAACCCUUCUGAUACCAGACCACCCAAGACUACUCCUAAAGCGAACUAAAUUAAAACCUUCCAAUCAAAAUUUUAUGUUAAUUUAUGGUCCAAACCCUGAUUUAAUAACAACAGUCAUUUUACUGAAAUCUUCAUUAUUUUCAGAAUUAAUUGAAACAAAGACAGUGUUUUUCAAUAGGGAUAUGGUAACAAAAGGGUUAAGCCAACAUAAAUCAUUAUACACCACAUGAAAGGUAUUACACUCGUUAUUUUUGCUUAAUCAGUUGUCAUAAUGCUUGAUAAUUAUUGCUUCGGUAUUUCAUCCUGAGCAGUAGAUUUUGCCAGUUCUAGUUUUAAAACUACUGCAGCACUUAGUUUUACUAUCAUGUGGCACAUGAUUCCAAAUACCACUGAGAUCAACUUACCCUUUCCCACUUCCUGGAUUGAUAAAACAAUGUACCAGUCAGAUACUGGGGUCAUUUUAAUCAACUAUGUUCUCUUCCAAAAAUGUUUAAUUUUGUCCCAAUAAUAGAAACCGUUAACAUUUGGCAUGUCUUGACCCUUUAGCGUUCAGAUUUCUCUGUCAUAUGUAACGCUUAUUUAUUUACAUUGUUUUUGAAUUAAUUACGCAUUAUCUCAUAGCUUGGUUAUUUCAAUGUGAUCGUUUAUUUUUAGAAUAACUUUGUUGGGUAAGUGUGAGAGAUAGGAUCUAGCCAUUUUAACCAUAGAACAGGUAGACUACUGAGCCCUCAUAUGGCCAGUGUAAAUGCUAAAAGGUUAAAGAAAAUGUAAACAUUAUGAUUUCAUAUGCUCCCCUGACUCUAUAAAUUUGAAAUUCUCUUUCUAUAAAAAUAAAGGGCAAUAUAGUAAUAAAAACAACCAAGUGCUUGACUACGUCUUAUCGCUAUAUUAUGAAUUAAUAUCUUGCUAGGUUCGAUUUUGAUGAGUAUUACAUAGAUACUGAUUCAGUUGAUUAUAAUUCUUCUCAAAAACUGAUCUUGUACUGAAUAAAAAUAAACCAAUAUUAUAUGAGAGUGGGGCAUAUGUUUUAAAGUAAUAUGUAAGCUUUUGGUGAGCUACAUCUAGAAUAUUUUAAUUCCCUUCUCCUUUUACUGUUUUUGAUAAAAGAGAAUGACACUCCUCAGACACAAUAAAAUAUGCUUCCAAACCAAAUACAAAAACGAGAUAAAAAAUGAACAUCCAUUUUAAAUGUGAGGCUCUCUGUUAUUGGAACUGAUAAUAUCAAUAUAAAAGGAAUACUAUUUGUAUUUAGUUUUAUGUUCUGGGUUCCAAUCUCACCAGGAUCCACCAAUAAAAAUUAACUCUCUCUCUUCUGAUAAAUCUGCAGCCUUGUGGCAAUGUGAGGAAUCCGUAUUUAUUUUGGGGUACAGGAUGUGGACAAAAUGAUAAUAGUAAGACAAUUUUGUCUGCUUUACAAUAUCUGAAUCAAACGUUUCAGGAGUCAAUAAAAUAUAUACCAACAAGAUGUAUGUAAUGGUAUUGAUAUGUUUGUAUGUUUAAUCAACUCCUCUUCCUAAAAAAA